UCAGGACGAACGCUGGCGGCGUGCCUAAUACAUGCAAGUCGAACGAACUCUGGUAUUGAUUGGUGCUUGCAUCAUGAUUUACAUUUGAGUGAGUGGCGAACUGGUGAGUAACACGUGGGAAACCUGCCCAGAAGCGGGGGAUAACACCUGGAAACAGAUGCUAAUACCGCAUAACAACUUGGACCGCAUGGUCCGAGUUUGAAAGAUGGCUUCGGCUAUCACUUUUGGAUGGUCCCGCGGCGUAUUAGCUAGAUGGUGGGGUAACGGCUCACCAUGGCAAUGAUACGUAGCCGACCUGAGAGGGUAAUCGGCCACAUUGGGACUGAGACACGGCCCAAACUCCUACGGGAGGCAGCAGUAGGGAAUCUUCCACAAUGGACGAAAGUCUGAUGGAGCAACGCCGCGUGAGUGAAGAAGGGUUUCGGCUCGUAAAACUCUGUUGUUAAAGAAGAACAUAUCUGAGAGUAACUGUUCAGGUAUUGACGGUAUUUAACCAGAAAGCCACGGCUAACUACGUGCCAGCAGCCGCGGUAAUACGUAGGUGGCAAGCGUUGUCCGGAUUUAUUGGGCGUAAAGCGAGCGCAGGCGGUUUUUUAAGUCUGAUGUGAAAGCCUUCGGCUCAACCGAAGAAGUGCAUCGGAAACUGGGAAACUUGAGUGCAGAAGAGGACAGUGGAACUCCAUGUGUAGCGGUGAAAUGCGUAGAUAUAUGGAAGAACACCAGUGGCGAAGGCGGCUGUCUGGUCUGUAACUGACGCUGAGGCUCGAAAGUAUGGGUAGCAAACAGGAUUAGAUACCCUGGUAGUCCAUACCGUAAACGAUGAAUGCUAAGUGUUGGAGGGUUUCCGCCCUUCAGUGCUGCAGCUAACGCAUUAAGCAUUCCGCCUGGGGAGUACGGCCGCAAGGCUGAAACUCAAAGGAAUUGACGGGGGCCCGCACAAGCGGUGGAGCAUGUGGUUUAAUUCGAAGCUACGCGAAGAACCUUACCAGGUCUUGACAUACUAUGCAAAUCUAAGAGAUUAGACGUUCCCUUCGGGGACAUGGAUACAGGUGGUGCAUGGUUGUCGUCAGCUCGUGUCGUGAGAUGUUGGGUUAAGUCCCGCAACGAGCGCAACCCUUAUUAUCAGUUGCCAGCAUUAAGUUGGGCACUCUGGUGAGACUGCCGGUGACAAACCGGAGGAAGGUGGGGAUGACGUCAAAUCAUCAUGCCCCUUAUGACCUGGGCUACACACGUGCUACAAUGGAUGGUACAACGAGUUGCGAACUCGCGAGAGUAAGCUAAUCUCUUAAAGCCAUUCUCAGUUCGGAUUGUAGGCUGCAACUCGCCUACAUGAAGUCGGAAUCGCUAGUAAUCGCGGAUCAGCAUGCCGCGGUGAAUACGUUCCCGGGCCUUGUACACACCGCCCGUCACACCAUGAGAGUUUGUAACACCCAAAGUCGGUGGGGUAACCUUUUAGGAACCAGCCGCCUAAGGUGGGACAGAUGAUUA
rnacentral:rRNA from 2 species